AAGUCAUCAACUGCUGCUGCGACGACUUCUACAGUUUCUGGGAAGAGAAAGGGUACUGGUCUUGUCGCAAAGAUUGUUGCAAAAGCUCGUAAGAAAUCUUCGAAAGAUUCACCUGCGGCGAAGAAGGUGGCUAAAGCAGUUCAGAUUUUGAAGAAAGCGAGUCCUUUGAAGAAGAAGAAGAAGAAGAAACCAAUUCUGGUUUUGAAGAAAGCAGCAAGUCCAUCAAAGAAGAAAGGGAGUUCGCCGAAGAUCAGUCCUCCCAAGAAAACUACCAUAGCGAAGAAAGCCGCUCCUCCUGUCAAGAAGACCAGAGCAGCAACUCCAGUUAAGAAAGCUGCUGCAGCUCCUAAGAAGUCAAAGAAAGUGGUAGCUGAAAAACCUCCGGCAAAGCGAGCGGGUCCGGCGAGGAAGGUGAAGAAGUGAAGAAGAAGUUCUUGGUUGGCAAAGUUGUUAAUUUUUCAUUUCGAUUUAGGUUUUCUAAUAUCAUUUUUUU
rnacentral:lncRNA from 1 species